rnacentral:rRNA from 1 species
CCUACGGGAGGCUGCAGUGGGGGAUAUUGGACAAUGGGGGGAACCCUGAUCCAGCGACGCCGCGUGAGUGAAGAAGUAUUUCGGUAUGUCAAGCUCUUUCAGCAGGGACGAAAGAAAUGACGGUACCUGACCAAGAAGCCCCGGCUAACUACGUGCCAGCAGCCGCGGUAAUACGUAGGGGGCAAGCGUUAUCCGGAAUUACUGGGUGGAAAGGGAGCGUAGACGGUUAAGUACGUCUGGAGUGAAAGGCCGGGGCUCAACCCCGGGAGUGCUCUGGAAACUAUUUAACGUGAGUGCAGGAGAGGUAAGCGGAAUUCCGAGUGUAGCGGUGAAAUGCGUAGAUAUUAGGAGGAACACCAGUGGCGAAGGCGGCUUACUGGACUGUAACUGACGUUGAGGCUCGAAAGCGUGGGGAGCAAACAGGAUUAGAUACCCUUGUAGUC